UCCCGGUUGGCCCGGGCUGUCUCGCAUGAAAAAUACAACAUACGAUAAGGGUUGCGCUCGUUGCGGGACUUAACCCAACAUCUCACGACACGAGCUGACGACGGCCAUGCAGCACCUGUCACUUGGCUCCUUGCGGCACCCCCUAAUUUCUUAGGGGUUCCAAGGAUGUCAAGCCUCGGUAAGGUUCUACGCGUAGCUUCAUAUUAAACCACAUCCUCCUCUGCUUGUGCGGGUCCCCGUCAAUUCCUUUGAGUUUUAGCCUUGCGGCCGUACUUCCCAGGCGGCAUACUUAUCGCGUUAGCUGCGUCGCACAGGGGGUCGAUACCCCAUACGACUAGUAUGCAUCGUUUACGGCGUGGACUAC
rnacentral:misc_RNA from 1 species